AUUUGAACCCCAAAAUGCUCAUGGAACUUAUGGUCAAUACAUGAAGCUAUUCCUCGUUUCUGUGUGCUGUUCGAUACUAAACAACAUUUUCUGCCAAUGCAUAAACUCAGUCUGGCAACUAGAGAACGUUCCAACGGCCGCCAUGUUGGUCACUGGUUAUAUCACGCGGGUGCUGUAGUUCCGUAACAUAAGAUAAGUGUGGUUCUUAGAUUGUGCAGGUCCUGGUUAGUUUUCUUCGAUAUUUUUUCAGGAAAAGGCACAUUUUUCUCAUAAUUUCAUUAACCACCGAAAUAUACCCUAAGGUAAAUUGCUUGCUUAAACCAUAGACAUUAAGGAGGCCUAAACAGAGAGAUCAAACUUAAGCGAACUGUUUCUACAUCAAGUGCCUUGAACAUACGUCACUAGCGCGGUAGUUAUUCAUUAUUCAGCGUCCUUCCUUUUGCAGUGUUCUGAGUUUAAUGACGCGACCACUUCGAUUCGCAUGUUUUAUAACAUACCAGCCAACCACUAUUUUGUCAUCUCUCAGACAUGCCACAUAAAAUGAGAACUCGUGGAACCACUAGAACACUACAAUCCAGCAACGACGAAGAGACAAAAAAUUGUGCCCGCAGUGAGGAUUCCCUAUUGGAGAUUGGUCAGGCAGUCCGGGGGGAAGAGGAAAGGCUCAGGGAAGACUUGAAAACAGGACUUCAAAGGAAGAAAAAUCACCUGAAUGACCGUAGUACAGGUGGGUAUAAUUGGAACGUUCCAAAAUUAAUCUGUUCCCAAAACUUCGUAAAUAAUAAGGUUGCCAACAAACAAGCAUACAAAGUUGUAUAGCGGCCGAAUAAGAUACCGGGUAGGGAGUGGGCUAUUUCAUUAAGUAUUUCACUCACCACUUUUAUUCUAAAAAAUGUCUGCUCACUCUGGUAGGCUAUGGACAAACAUUAAGAAUAAGCUACGUGGUGAGUUGAUGUCUAUUCAGCAGCUAGUUAGCAAGGUGAAUUGAUCUACUUUGUGUGUUGUUUUUGGCAACCUUGUACUUUACAAAGUUUUUGGCACUGAUUCCUGUUGAAACGUUCCAAUUAUACCCACACCCACAGUACUGUCAUAGAGCCAGAGAGAUGCUUUGAAAAUGUCAAGAUAUUUUGUUCUCCUUAAUAAUAGGAUGGUGUCAUCUAUGGCUAUUCCAUGUCUGGCUUUGUGGUUAAUGUGUCCACCCUUAGAUUGGAAGGUUGGGGGUUCAAUCCCCAGUCAAGUUAUACCAAAGACUCAAAUGGGACCUGAUGGAUCUGCUAGGCUUUUGGCACUAAGGAAAUGGAUUGGGGGUAAGGCCCUGCGGCAGACUAGCAUCCUGUCUAGGGGGUAUAAUUUUACAUCAAGCUGCCUAACGAUAUACAGAAACAGGAGAUAGGCUCUUGCUCUAUGGGUUGUUAUGGCUUGUUAAGGCUUAUUUACUAUGCCAGUUUGGGAUCAAGGAUUUGAAGACUCUUCCCAACCAAACUGGUUGUUGGGAUGUUUGGAACUCCCGGGCCUGUAACUUCAUGCGAGACAUGAAAGCGGGGCAGCAAGUAUUCUUCUAGCACAGUAACUACAAGGAGCCUGGAAUAUCUGUGAGUUAUGACGGUGAGUAAAGGAGUCCUAUGUGGACCACAGUCAGUUUGACAAGACAGAUGUCCAUUACGACACCUCCAGCAAGGCAGACAACCCCAGAUGGAGUAUGGUAUGAAUGAUUUCAUGUUUACAUUUGUUUGUGUUCCAAAUGGCUUGAGGUCAAGAUACAUCACUGAUAUGUAACAGGCUUUUUAAAAAUCACAAUCCAAUUUAGACUGUACUAGUGCUCUGCUGGCUUGGUUGGUGUCCAGUUUGUGAGGAUGUUGAAGUACUUCAUUCCUCUGUCUGAGUUGAAGAAGACCCACCUGCAGCACAAGGCGGGGCCCUGAAUGGCAUGGCUCUUCACCAGGGCCAGGCUGUCUGUCCAGCCCCUCACCAGUGGUACGUGGAGAUCAGUGACACUGAGUAAUAAUGGUUGUCAAAUCUCCACCUCAUCAUAUUUUACAAAGCUUUUGUCUAAGUAAAAUCAUAUAUUAUUUUUUUUUAAAUGAGUUUGGAGGACAAAGACCCACUGUGAAGAUUUGGACAAGAUGAUGCUGCUAAUAUGUUUACUGUCUAUUGAACCAUUGUGCUUGUAUUGAAUGAAAAUUGGCUCAAGGUUUCUGUUUGUCAGACACCUUGGAGUUCAUUUCUAAUAUUAAAUGUUUAU